rnacentral:rRNA from 1 species
GCGAUGCCGCGUGAGUGAAGAAGGCCCUUGGGUUGUAAAGCUCUUUCGUCGGGGAAGAAAAUGACUGUACCCGAAUAAGAAGGUCCGGCUAACUUCGUGCCAGCAGCCGCGGUAAUACGAAGGGACCUAGCGUAGUUCGGAAUUACUGGGCUUAAAGAGUUCGUAGGUGGUUGAAAAAGUUAGUGGUGAAAUCCCAGAGCUUAACUCUGGAACUGCCAUUAAAACUUUUCAGCUAGAGUAUGAUAGAGGAAAGCAGAAUUUCUAGUGUAGAGGUGAAAUUCGUAGAUAUUAGAAAGAAUACCAAUUGCGAAGGCAGCUUUCUGGAUCAUUACUGACACUGAGGAACGAAAGCAUGGGUAGCGAAGAGGAUUAGAUACCCUCGUAGUCCAUGCCGUAAACGAUGUGUGUUAGACGUUGGAAAUUUAUUUUCAGUGUCGCAGCGAAAGCGAUAAACACACCGCCUGGGGAGUACGACCGCAAGGUUAAAACUCAAAUGAAUUGACGGGGACCCGCACAAGUAGUGGAGCAUGUGGUUUAAUUCGAAGAUACGCGCAGAACCUUACCAACACUUGACAUGUUCGUCGCGACUCUAAGAGAUUAGAGUUUUCGGUUCGGCCGGACGAAACACAGGUGCUGCAUGGCUGUCGUCAGCUCGUGUCGUGAGAUGUUGGGUUAAGUCCCGCAACGAGCGCAACCCUCACUUUUAGUUGCCAUCAUUAAGUUGGGCACUCUGGAAGAACUGCCAGUGAUAAGCUGGAGGAAGGUGGG